rnacentral:tRNA from 1 species
GGAAAGGUGCAAGAGUGGCUUAAUUGGCACGCCUGGAAAGCGUGUGUCCGUGAAUAGCGGACCGAGGGUUCGAAUCCCUCCUUUUCCGCAA